UACGUAGGUGACCAGCGUUGUCCGGAUUUACUGGGCGUAAAGAGCGCGCAGGCGGUCGUUCAAGUCGCGUGUGAAAGCCCCCGGCUCAACUGGGGAGGGUCACGCGAUACUGAUCGACUCGAAGGCAGGAGAGGGAAGUGGAAUUCCCGGUGUAGUGGUGAAAUGCGUAGAUAUCGGGAGGAACACCAGUGGCGAAGGCGACUUCCUGGCCUGUUCUUGACGCUGAGGCGCGAAAGCGUGGGGAGCAAACAGG
rnacentral:rRNA from 1 species